GAUCAAUCAAAAUAGCUCAAUUGAUAGAGCAUGAGACUCAAUCUCAGGGUUGUGGGUUUAAGCCCCAUGUUGAGCA